rnacentral:rRNA from 1 species
GUGAAUUACGAGGACGUAAUGUUCUAGUGUAAUUUUUGAAUUAAUUCAACUUUUUUUUUUGGGUGUACUCAUCAUAAUAUGGGACGUACGCGUGUUAAAUUAGGGAUAAUCCUCUACCAUGAGCAUGUGACACUUAGUUUAACCAAGCGUUGUGCUACUAGGCGAAGCUUGGAGUGCCGCAUACUAGAUGGCAAGAAUCCAGUAGCUGCAUCACUAGCUUGCGCUCUGAUCUGAGUAGCAUGAGACACGUGAAAUCCCGUGUGAUUCAGCAAGAACCACCUCGCAAAGCUAAAUACAAUUGGGUGACCGAUAGUUAAGCAGUACUGUGAGAAAAGGGUGAAAAGAACCCCCACCGGAAAAUGAUAGAAUAUAAAAC